AACGAACGCUGGCGGCAUGCCUAACACAUGCAAGUCGAACGAGACCUUCGGGUCUAGUGGCGCACGGGUGCGUAACGCGUGGGAACCUGCCCUUAGGUUCGGAAUAACUCCCCGAAAGGGGUGCUAAUACCGGAUAAUGUCUUCGGACCAAAGAUUUAUCGCCUUUGGAUGGGCCCGCGUUGGAUUAGCUAGUUGGUAGGGUAAAAGCCUACCAAGGCGACGAUCCAUAGCUGGUCUGAGAGGAUGAUCAGCCACACUGGGACUGAGACACGGCCCAGACUCCUACGGGAGGCAGCAGUGGGGAAUAUUGGACAAUGGGCGAAAGCCUGAUCCCGCAAUGCCGCGUGAGUGAUGAAGGCCUUAGGGUUGUAAAGCCCUUUUACCCGGGAUGAUAAUGACAGUACCGGGAGAAUAAGCUCCGGCUAACUCCGUA
rnacentral:rRNA from 1 species